UGGGGAAUAUUGGACAAUGGGGGAAACCCUGAUCCAGCGAUGCCGCGUGGGUGAAGAAGGCCUGCGGGUUGUAAAGCCCUUUCAGUGGGGAAGAAAAACGGAGUGUGAACAGCGCUUCGUCUUGACGUUACCUACAGAAGAAGCACCGGCUAACUCCGUGCCAGCAGCCGCGGUAAUACGGAGGGUGCGAGCGUUAAUCGGAAUCACUGGGCGUAAAGGGCGCGUAGGCGGUUAGGUAAGUCGGAUGUGAAAGCCCUGGGCUUAACCUGGGAAUGGCAUUCGAGACUGUCUAUCUAGAGUCUGGUAGAGGGAAGUGGAAUUUCCGGUGUAGCGGUGAAAUGUGUAGAUAUCGGAAGGAACACCAGUGGCGAAGGCGACUUCCUGGACCAAGACUGACGCUGAGGCGCGAAAGCGUGGGGAUCAAACAG
rnacentral:rRNA from 1 species